rnacentral:rRNA from 1 species
ACUCCUACGGGAGGCAGCAGUGGGGAAUUUUGGACAAUGGGGGCAACCCUGAUCCAGCCAUGCCGCGUGAGUGAAGAAGGCCUUCGGGUUGUAAAGCUCUUUCGGCCGGGAAGAAAUCGCGCACUCUAACAUAGUGUGUGGAUGACGGUACCGGACUAAGAAGCACCGGCUAACUACGUGCCAGCAGCCGCGGUAAU